GGAAAACAUCUCCAGAGAAGCAAAGCAAAGGCGCCACUAAAUCCCAGAGAGGUUCCCGUCCCUCCAUCACAUGUAUUUCUUAGUGGUGUGACCUCAUUACUCCAAUUGCUUCCUUUGACUUAGAAACAGUAUUGUCACAAUUGUACACAAGACAGAGCUUUUUCAGUGUUGGUCCCUAGUUUGACGAACUUUCUUUCAGUGUUGGCCUAUUAGACUCCAUCAUGCUGGGGACUCAUGUGAUAAGUAAUGAAGGCUUUUUUCAAAAGAUGUUGAGGAUGGCAGAAAAAUCCUUGCUCUGAACCACAGGGUUCCUGCUUUAUGGAGGUAAAGACCUAAAUGUGAAUGUGUAUGAACUGAACACCUGCUAAAAUGCCAGAAUCUGCAAAUGCUUUUCAUUAUUGGAUUAGGAUUUGAAAUGGUUUGGGAUGUCAUGCAUAGCCCACCUAUUCUGGAGUUGUUCCAUGACAGCCCAUGGCACUACUUUAAGAAAGUGAACGUCCUUCACUGCUUUCAUUUCCUGACUAAAUACUACCACAGACGUGAUGGGAAAUACAGUUAUGUGAGCGAGCAAGACAAACGCACAAGUGUUCACUCAGCAGCAGCAAGAGUGAAGCGACCCACAGGCAUGGAGAUCUCACUAUCCUGACAGCGCCCUUCCAAAAGUUCAAAUACCUUGAAGACUUCAGAACAAGGGUCUACUUUUCCUGCCUUUCUUCAUGACAUUCUGCAGAAGACAAAAACAGCCAUGAAUAGAAAUAAAAGUCUAGGUCUUCUAUUUCUAUCA
rnacentral:lncRNA from 1 species